rnacentral:rRNA from 1 species
CUUGAACGCUGGCGGCAUGCUUUACACAUGCAAGUCGAACGGCAGCGCGGGCUUCGGCCUGGCGGCGAGUGGCGAACGGGUGAGUAAUGCAUCGGAACGUGCCCAGUAGUGGGGGAUAGCCCGGCGAAAGCCGGAUUAAUACCGCAUACGACCUGAGGGUGAAAGCGGGGGACCGAAAGGCCUCGCGCUAUUGGAGCGGCCGAUGUCGGAUUAGCUAGUUGGUGGGGUAAUGGCUUACCAAGGCGACGAUCCGUAGCUGGUCUGAGAGGACGACCAGCCACACUGGGACUGAGACACGGCCCAGACUCCUACGGGAGGCAGCAGUGGGGAAUUUUGGACAAUGGGGGCAACCCUGAUCCAGCCAUGCCGCGUGCGGGAAGAAGGCCUUCGGGUUGUAAACCGCUUUUGUUCGGGAAGAAAUCCUCUGGGCUAAUACCCCGGGGGGAUGACGGUACCGGAAGAAUAAGCACCGGCUAACUACGUG